rnacentral:rRNA from 1 species
UACGGAAGGGGCGAGCGUUGUUCGGAAUCACUGGGCGUAAAGCGCGCGUAGGCGGCUUUGCAAGUGCGGCGUGAAAGUCCUGGGCUCAACCUGGGGACGGCGCUGCGGACUGCAUGGCUGGAGUCCGGAAGAGGGUGGUGGAAUUCCGAGUGUAGAGGUGAAAUUCGUAGAUAUUCGCAAGAACACCAGUGGCGAAGGCGGCUCACUGGCCCGAUACUGACGCUGAGGCACGAAAGCGUGGGGAGCAAACAGG